CGGGACGGGUGAGUAAUGUCUGGGAAACUGCCCGAGGGAGGGGGAUAACUACUGGAAACGGUAGCUAAUACCGCAUAACGUCGCAAGACCAAAGAGGGGGACCUUGGGCCUCUUGCCAUCGGAUGUGCCCAGAUGGGAUUAGCUAGUAGGUGGGGUAACGGCUCACCUAGGCGACGAUCCCUAGCUGGUCUGAGAGGAUGACCAGCCACACUGGAACUGAGACACGGUCCAG
rnacentral:rRNA from 1 species